rnacentral:lncRNA from 1 species
AAUUCGACGCACAUAAUUGACUAAAACUUCUCAAUCUUUACAAUCUUUUAUGUACUCUCUUUUCUAAUUUGGUUAACUAGUUGGAAAACCUAAUUUUUAAUUUGUGAGUUCUCUAAAAUAAAAUAAAAUAAAAUAAAAUAAAAUAAAACAUAGAUUGAGAACACAACAAAACAGUACAAAUCUUGGCAUGCAAACUUAUCUAUCUUGUAUGUAUCACUUGUCUUCAUUAAAUACAAAAUCUAUCACUUAUAUUUUUUGUGUUAGAGAAAAAAAAGAAAAUAGUUAUCACCAAGACACUUUACAACGACAUGACCGUUAUAUCCUCUAAUUAUAAACUUAAUCACGAA